GACGAACGCUGGCGGCGUGCUUAACACAUGCAAGUCGAACGGAAAGGCCCUGCUUUUGUGGGGUGCUCGAGUGGCGAACGGGUGAGUAACACGUGAGUAACCUGCCCUUGACUUUGGGAUAACUUCAGGAAACUGGGGCUAAUACCGGAUAGGAGCUCCUGCUGCAUGGUGGGGGUUGGAAAGUUUCGGCGGUUGGGGAUGGACGCGCGGCUUAUCAGCUUGUUGGUGGGGUAGUGGCUUACCAAGGCUUUGACGGGUAGCCGGCCUGAGAGGGUGACCGGCCACAUUGGGACUGAGAUACGGCCCAGACUCCUACGGGAGGCAGCAGUGGGGAAUAUUGCACAAUGGGCGGAAGCCUGAUGCAGCAACGCCGCGUGCGGGAUGACGGCCUUCGGGUUGUAAACCGCUUUCGCCUGUGACGAAGCGUGAGUGACGGUAAUGGGUAAAGAAGCACCGGCUAACUACGCG
rnacentral:rRNA from 1 species